AAAGAGGUAGUGGCAGGUCUAAGAGGAGUAAAGAAGAAGGGGACAUGUAACAUACAUGUAUAAAAUUCUCAAAGAAUUGAUAAAAAUAUUUCAUUUAAAAUAUCAACAAGCCAAAAACAAACAAACAAACAAAUAAAUAAAUAGUAGCUGGUGAAUCCAGUAAAAGGCUGGGAAGUCAGAGUAGAAGAAUGUAAUCCAGAAACACAUUACCACUCAAGGUGUGAAGGGACAUGCUUACUUAUAUACUUUUCUAUUUAUGGGAAAGAUAUUAUAUGUGAAUUAAGUUUAAUGUGUUAAAGUUUUGGAAUAACCAAUCCAAUUUUAAUAUCUUAAAAUUAUAUCAGGACUUAGUAUUAGUUUAUGAUGGCCAAAAAGUGACAUGAAAUUUACCUAUACAACAGGAAAGUUAAACAAAGAGGAAGAAAUUAAGGUAGUAAAUCCUUACUAAUUUUCAUAAAAUUUAUGCAUUUUUAGAUUUUUAAAAAUAAAUCUAUAAAAAGAUUCAUAUCACUAUUCACAGAAAUGCAAUAUAAUAAAUUAUUAACAAAUCCAAUAUAUUAUAAUCAAUUAUCACUGAAAUAGAAUACAUGAAUAAAUUAGAAUAAUCUGUGUACUGGCUGGUUUUGUGUAUCAACUUGACACAAACUGGAGUUAUCACAGAGAAAGGAGCAUCCCUUGAGGAAAUGCCUCCAAAAAUCCAGCUGUAAGGCAUUUCUCAAUUAGUGAUCAAAGGUGGGAGGACCCAGCCCACUAUGGGUGGUAUCAUCCCUGGGCUGGUAGUCCAGGGUUCUAUAAGAAAGCAAGGUGAGACAAACCAGGGAAAGCAAGCCAGUAAGUAGCUCACCUCUACCUCCGUGGCCUCUGCAUCAUCUCCUGCCCCCUGUUUCCUGCCCUGUGUGAGUUCAUUUCCUUACUUCCUUUGGUAAUGAACAGCAGUGUGGAAGUGUAAGCUGAAUAAAACUUUUCCUCUUCAUCUUGCUCCUUGGUCAUGAUGUUUUUUGCAGGAAUAGAAACGCUGACUAAGACAAUCUACAGUCUAAAAAUAAUAAUAAUUCUUGUGAGUGAUAUGAGAGUUUGAGAACUUGUGUGACCUAAGGACAGUAAGUUGUGUAGCUGGAAUUAUGAAGGAUUAUGGAAGAAACCUGACUGCUAAGUAAGAUGGCAAUGGUAGUAGAGGAAGCUUGCUAUAUUGUACAGAUCUGGGAGUAAAUUUUCUAUUAUCUUAAAGUAUGCUUCCAUGAGACAGUUAUAAUGUGAUAAAUUGGUAGAUACCAUCAAGAAUUAGACGAAUGGCAUGUAAUGUAUCUAUCACAUGAAUACCAGGAUUGGACAUAUAGCUGUGCAACAUUUUUUUUUGGCAUUUUCUUACUUAAAUCUAUUUAUUCCCCUCCAAGAAGAAGUUAUUUCAUUUUCGGGAUAGCAUUUGAAAUGUAUAUAAAGAAAAUACCU
rnacentral:lncRNA from 1 species